GACGAACGCUGGCGGCGUGCCUAAUACAUGCAAGUAGAACGCUGAAGGAGGAGCUUGCUUCUCCGGAUGAGUUGCGAACGGGUGAGUAACGCGUAGGUAACCUGCCUCUUAGCGGGGGAUAACUAUUGGAAACGAUAGCUAAUACCGCAUAAAAGACGAUAUCGCAUGAUAUUGAUUUGAAAGGUGCAAAUGCAUCACUAAGAGAUGGACCUGCGUUGUAUUAGCUAGUUGGUGAGGUAACGGCUCACCAAGGCAACGAUACAUAGCCGACCUGAGAGGGUGAUCGGCCACACUGGGACUGAGACACGGCCCAGACUCCUACGGGAGGCAGCAGUAGGGAAUCUUCGGCAAUGGGGGCAACCCUGACCGAGCAACGCCGCGUGAGUGAAGAAGGUUUUCGGAUCGUAAAGCUCUGUUGUAAGAGAAGAACGAGUGUGAGAGUGGAAAGUUCACACUGUGACGGUAACUUACCAGGAAGGGACGGCUAACUACGUGCCAGCAGCCGCGGUAAUACGUAGGUCCCGAGCGUUAUCCGGAUUUAUUGGGCGUAAAGCGAGCGCAGGCGGUUAGAUAAGUCUGAAGUUAAAGGCUGUGGCUUAACCAUAGUACGCUUUGGAAACUGUUUAACUUGAGUGCAGAAGGGGAGAGUGGAAUUCCAUGUGUAGCGGUGAAAUGCGUAGAUAUAUGGAGGGAACACCGGGGCGAAAGCGGCUCUCUGGUCUGUAACUUGACUCUGAUGGCUCUAUAAGCGUGGGGGAGCAAACUGGAUUAUAUACCCUGGGUAGUCCCAAGGGGGAAAUUCCACACUGGAUGUUAAGCUCUAUCGGUAAUCUCUACCUCUAGGGGGGGCGCGGUAAGAAAAUUUUGUUCUCUUUAAUGAGGGAUGAUUUAAAAAAAA
rnacentral:rRNA from 1 species